UACGAAGGGGGCUAGCGUUGCUCGGAAUCACUGGGCGUAAAGGGCGCGUAGGCGGCGUUUUAAGUCGGGAGUGAAAGCCUGUGGCUCAACCACAGAAUGGCCUUCGAUACUGGGACGCUUGAGUAUGGUAGAGGUUGGUGGAACUGCGAGUGUAGAGGUGAAAUUCGUAGAUAUUCGCAAGAACACCGGUGGCGAAGGCGGCCAACUGGACCAUUACCGACGCUGAGGCGCGAAAGCGUGGGGAGCAAACAGG
rnacentral:rRNA from 1 species